UUCAACUGAGGUAAGGGUAAGGUUUCCAAUCAUACGCAGUUUCUGACCAGAGGAGACUUACCAGAGGGGCCUGAGAAUUUCAAGACUGGAUGUCAAUUGAA
rnacentral:snoRNA from 1 species